AACAUUCUACUGAUAUGGACGUACAUCUACAGAUACGUGGAACAGUUACUCUGAUGAGGUUACUUCAAGUUAGAAGAUACAAAUGUAAUGCUCAGACGUUUAUUCUGUUUCUGACGUCAUAAGUCUUUUUAACUAUAUCAUGCUCACUAAAAUAAGUACUCAUUACUAUACAAGAUACGUUUAUUCUAUUUCUGACGUCAUAAGUCUUUUUAACUAUAUCAUGCUCACUAAAAUAAGUACUCAUUACUACAAAAGAUAUAUUUCUUGUUUGGAUUUCUUUUAUAAGGCUUUUUGAUGCAUGACAUAACAGAAGAGAUGUUUAGAGAAGAAGAAGAAGAAAUAGGAGGAGCAAAAUCUAUAAUAUUGAUUCCUUAAUAAUAAAAUUUGAAACAAAAUUGAAAAACCUAAGUCCUCACUUGUAAAAUUUUUUUUUGAUAAAUAAUCUAACAAAUUAUUAAUCAUGGAUAAUACACAGAAAGUGUAUUAUCAAUUAAUAUAAGACAGAAACAACAUAAAAUUGGGCAACCCGCCCAUACGAGUAGCAGCCGCAGCAUUAAACCAAGUAUACAAUGUCAAAUAAAACAAUUCUUUAAUCUACUUUGUUGUCCAUGUAUGAUCAUCAAAACAACAGUUGUUUCUCUACCUCCACACACACCAAACGAUAUAUCCUAGAAUAAGGUCCCAAACAAGCUUGUUAUUCUUAUUACGAAAUCUUCUCCUCCAUGCUUUUAAUACAUCCUACAUAUGAUAAAGCCUAAUAAAGACAGAUUCUAGAAUGUUCACUAGUUAGUUAGUAGGAAGGAUAAAAAUGUAAUAGGUUAUAGUAAGGAUUGCCUAUAAAUAGAAGAGAAAAAGAAAGGGAAAGGCGUGCAAAAUAUUGAGUAGUUGUUUGAGUCUAUUAGGAGAGAUCCAGCAUCUCGAAUGCUUGGAAUUGUUCUUUCAAUUUCUAUUUUCAGUUUCUAUCCAUUUCAAUAAAUCUAUUUGCAAUUCGGUAAAUCAUUGCCCAACAUUUCUCCUAGAUCGGUAACGGCAACUAGGAAAUUCCAUUAGUUGAGGUACAGCAGUAGGGGAUCCUAUCAAAAUGGUAUCAGAGCAAUCAUUCUGGCCCUGGGACAGUACCUCUGAGGAAGAAAAACAAUUAGAAGAUCGAGUUAAUCAUUUGGAAACUGAGAUCGAUGUACUGCAAGAAGAGCUUGGAGAAAUGAAAUUAGAAUUUAAGAGAGCAAUGACUUACGCCCCACGUGGUCGCGUUCGAUUCGUCCCAGUAGCGAUCGCAAAACAACGUGGACAGCACGCUUCAGCAGGACGGAACAGCUUGCGAUAGGGGAUGCAGGUAGAUUGUUUUGGACAGAAUGCAGGCUGCCUAAAUGGUGCAGUUUUCCAGCACGUUAAUGGGAUUUUUCUAAGUCCCGACCCAUCCCUUUUGGGAGGAAAAAUACAUGAACCUGCAGCGAGAUAUUUUGGGAUGCAAGUGGGCUACUUGCACAACUUGUCCACUUGUGCCACUUGCAAGAUAUUAUCAAAAAUGCAAGCUAAGCACGAGUUGGCGAAAAUAAUAUCAAAGAUGCAAACUACGAUCGAGUUGGCGCCAACUUGCAAGGAAAAUUGUAAGAUCAUCCGCUUGACGACAACUAAGCAUUAGUUGUAACCAACUAAGCACGAGUUGUGACCAACUAAGCAUGGGUUGUAAAGUAAAUGCAACUUGAUUUUAAGGAGGUUUAAAUUUUGCCUAUAAAUAGAGAUGAAAGUCUCAUUUGUAAAUCAUGUAGAGUUAAGUGAGUUUAUUCAUUAGAGAGAUUGUAAAGUUUUCCCUUUCAUUUAUGCAAAGAAAGUUUCCCAACCUUACUUAUUUUCCAUAUAUUCCUUGCUCCAAAAUUCUCUUUUCAACGUGAGUAUAAUUUAGUCUCAUUGGUUAAAUUAUUUGUGAGCGUGAAAAGGCUGACUUAACGUUUCCUCGUGAGGUGCCGGAAUUGUCAAGCGUUAAAGCCGCACGGUUCUAGUUGUUCGGGUGUAACGAAACUAGGUCCGUGACAGAUGUCUAGGAUGAUGAAGAAGCUCGAUCUGAUGAUAAAAGAAGGGGGUGGACCGGAACGAGAAAGGCAUGAGAAGGGGAUAAUAGAAAAGUCACCGAAACUCACCAUCACAUCUAAAAUUUCCCCAAAAUUGGAGGAAGCUGGAGUACAUAGCCGCAUCAAGCACCGCCAGGAGGACAGGGAGGAAAAGGAGGUCCAUUCACUUCGCCGAAGCCCGUCUUUAAUUUUGAAGUCAUACCAAAAAUUGAAGAAAACGAAGUGAGUAAAGAAGAUCGGAAUCACAGGGAGGAAUUAGGGAAGGCAGGAGCGCGAAGUCGUGGACUCAAAUUGUCGAUUGCUGAGAUACUUACAGCUCGAUUGCUGGUAAAUUCUGAAACGAUGAUGGAAGACGCUGUGAUUAAUGGGCUAAAAAAGGAGAAGAGGUUGAUCUGGAUGAAUCGGGAGGAGAUGGAGACCACGGGGUGAAACAGGACGAACUUGGGCUUACAAGUAGGGCUGGGGUUCAUAUAAAAGAGCCGGUGGGACCAAAUGGGAGAAGGCUCGAAGGACUUCCUAAAUCAAGCCAACUCAGUUUUGGCCCAAAUAAAAUGAGGAAAAAUUCCAACCUCUUAAAUCCAGCUUUUAGUCCAUUUAUACACCCAUAUCAAGCCAAUUUUCAUACUUAAUUCACCCACGUAAUCCACCCAACACACCAAAACAACCCAAAAUCAGCAGCAACCAUAGUCCGACGACUGACAAUCGCAAAGGGUGCUCCUCCAUUUAAGAGACUCAUGGCCGCUGAGCUUCGUCUGAAGAGGGAAACAAGCUGGUGUUAUCGCUGUGAUGUAACAUACAACCCGGGUCGUAGGUGUCGAAAUAAAGAGUCAAGGAUUUUGGUGGUACAAGAGGAAGAAGUUGAUGUUCCAUGGAAUGUUCCAGAAGGUGAUGAAGAGGACGAAGUAGGUGAAUUAGGGGAGAUAUCACUCAAUUAUGUGGGAGGACUAACCACAACAAAAACCAUGAAAACUAGGGGUUCGAUUUUGGGGCAGUUAGUAAUAGUCUUGAUUGAUUAUGGAGCUACACCUAACUUCAUUUCAGCAAAGUUGGGUGGUCAAUUGAGGUUGCAGACCACAGAAACUACUAGCUACGAGCUUUACAUGUCCAGAGCAGAUUCACCAGCUGCAGCCAUUAGAUCUACUGUUGCAGCAGAGAAGAAUCCUUUCCAGCAGCUCUAUAGAUCAGCAUCAGAUCAGCAACAACGUCCGGAUCUAUUAGAACUUUACCGGCAAACCAGGUUCCUAGCUUCUUCUUUGAGGGGAGUGUAUGAACAAGGACUAUUGCUGGAGGAGAAGAAGACAACGGAGAAGAAAGGGGAAGAGAAUGGGCUGGAAUUGAUGGCUGAAUUUCAGAUGAAAGAACCUAUAGGCUUGGUUUUGGAAUUGGCCCAACAGGGGAAAGGCAGCAGUGAAGUUGUGAAACAAGCCCCACUAAAUUUCGACACACAUGGAAGUAAACUUAAUAGGCUCAACCUACCGGUAAGUUACCGCCUACAAUUUUCCUAUUUUCAAAAAUCGUUGAAUAGCCCCUUGCUUUUCAAGGUAAAUCCAAAUCAACUGCAUCUACUGUACUUCGUCAAGCAACGAUGGCGAGGGAAAUUGCACCCGAAUCCCAGGCAACUACCGAGAGUGUUGAUAUUGCUGUUUUGGCAUUGGGGAUUGCAAAUCAAUGGACGAACAUACUUAGGGAUGUUGGAGAAGAUGAAAGAAGAGGAGGGAUCUACAUGUUGCAUGAUGAAAUCUACGUGGAUGACUACAAUAAUUUCACAAGGGGGGCAUGUGUAAACAAACUGAAGAAAAUGCUUGCUCAGUGCCUCAGCCUAUUGCAUAUGCAAAAUCUCCGUUGGUGAUAGGGGCAACUGGAUAUGGAAUUGCCCUGGACACUAUAUUGGUGAUAGUUGCUCAACUGAGUAGGUCCGUCCACUUCGAAAGGUUGAAACACCCAUACUCCAUAGUGACCAUGACUGGAGUUCUUGCAAGGAAACUGCGAGGUUGCAUGAUGAAUUGACCAAGACAGCAACAAUUUCCACCUUGAGAACAAGGUGGAUUUCGAGGUGGAGAGUAAUGAUAGAGUCUAAUAAAGACAGAUUCUAGAAUGUUCACUAGUUAGUUAGGAGGGAUAAAAAUGUAAUAGGCUAUAGUAAGGAUUGCCUAUAAAUAGAAGAGAAAAAGAAAAGGAAAGGCAUGCAAAAUAUUGAGUAAUUUGUUGAGUCUAUUAGGCGAGAUCCAGCCUCUCAAAUGCUUGGAAUUGUUCUUUCAAUUUCUAUUUCUAGUUUCUAUCCAUUUCAAUAAAUCUAUUUACAAUUCAGUAAAUCAUUGCCCAACAUUUCUCCUAGAUCAGUAACGGCAACAGGAAAUUCAAUUAAAUAUGUCUGAAUUGUCAAUGGACCUUCAGGUUCGUUAAAAAAGAAAGAUGAAAUCUUAGGGGAUUAUAAGAGGACCUAAGAUGAGUGUUUUGCUUGAUCAUCAAUAUAUUUCGUAAGAGCAGAGUGGUAUAAAGUGUAAUUUUAUUUGUUAUAUAUUUGUGUAUGGAAACUGCACUUAUCUUAUUGGGUAUUUUUAAAUACUCACUCUUACUAUAAUUUUUACAGGUUUGUGCGAUCGAUUGGAACUGUGGCGAAUUUAUGAUGUGGGCUGCUAAUAGGAUUCGAAAACGAAAAGUAUAAAAUUUUUGGUUUGUCUUUAAAUUCGUUAGUUGAAUAUUUUUAUAUUUUUUAUUUGUUCAAAUACUAGUUUGUUUAUUUUAAAUUGAUAUUUAUGGGUGAAAAUAAA
rnacentral:lncRNA from 1 species